CUCAACUCAUAGCUCACCCGCCUUCAGAGACUUCUUGGCCCAUCUUAGCUGGAAGGGAUCUGUUCCAGCGCUGAGCUUUUAUUUUGCUUAGCAUCUACUCAGAUGCCUUGACUGUGUGUGUCUCACAGUCCUACUGACUGACAAACUCCCUGGGGGCCGAGAUGGCAUGGAUUCAGGUCUCAGAUGCUCUAUGGCACCUGGGAGCAUCUUACACAGGUGAAGUGCUCAGUGAUGAUCUGGGGUCACUAUUCUCUGCAGAUCAGCAUGUCUGAGAGGUAGGGGCUCACAGACUGUGGAACUGGUGUAAGACCUUUGUCUUUUCCCAGCUACUAACAGGUCCUGCUUGUCACAGCCCUUCCAUGAUACAAAGUUAAGUCAUUUUGUGUCUGACACAGGCAAAGGAAAAUGACAGGCCCUUGCCUUCCCGGUCCUCAAGGGUCAGCUGUAAGAUGAUGUCAUAAAGCCGGAUCAGGUCCUGGGGCCGGGGGAAGCACUUGCUGUCAUCCUCUGGCUGCUGCUGCAGCAGAGCCCUCUGCAGACCUUUGGCCAUGCUCUCAUUACGCUUGAUUGCCAUUGACAGCUUGAUGUAAGUCAGGUAGGUGGAAUGCACCACACGUCAGCUCAAGUUAUACUCAGAGAAGCAGAGGAACUGGGAGGACUGCACUACGAGUUGGGGCUGACCCAGAGGAAGUCGGGGGUGAGUUGGGGCAAGGCCACAGCAGGGCCAUUUGGCCUGGGCUUCAAGGGACCCUGUAAUCCCAACUACUUGGCAGGCUGAGGCAGGAGAAUCACUUGAAUCCGGGAGGUGGAGGUUUCAGUGAGCCGAGAUAGUGCCACUUCACUGCAGCCUGGGCGACAAGAGUGAAACUCCGUCUCAAAGAAAACUAAAAUAGGCUGGGUGCAGUGACUCAUGCCUGUAAUCCCAGCACUUUGGGAGGCCGAGAUGGGUGGAUCACCUGAGGCUGGGAGUUCAAGACCAGCCUGACCAACAUGGAGAAACCCCAUCUCUACUAAAAAUACAAAAUUAGCUGGGCGUGGUGGCUCAUGCCUGUAAUCCCAGCUACUCAGGAGGCUGAGGCAGGAGAACUGCUUGAACCUGAGAGGCGGAGGUUGUAGUGAGCUGGGAUUGCUCCAUUGCACUCCAGCCUGGGCAACAAGAGCGAACCUCCGUCUCAAAAAAUAAAUAAAUAAA
rnacentral:lncRNA from 1 species